rnacentral:rRNA from 1 species
UARCAACUUUCAGCAGUGGAUGUCUAGGCUCGCACAUCGAUGARGAACGCUGCGAACUGCGAUACGUAAUGCGAAUUGCAGGAUUCAGUGAGUCAUCGAAAUUUUGAACGCAUAUUGCACUUCCGGGUUAGUCCUGGAAGUAUGCCUGUAUCAGUGUCCGUA